AGCUUUGCGCAGUGGCAGUAUCGUAGCCAAUGAGGUUUAUCCGAGGCGCGAUUAUUGCUAAUUGAAAUGUAUUUCCAUUUGGUUUCUGGGAAACCAUAGACAUCUGAUAUUUCUCCUAUCAG
rnacentral:snRNA from 1 species